GACAUUGUAGCCCAGGCGGUAGAGCAUCGUUCUAGAAAUACGAAGGUCGCGGGUUCGAAUCCCAGCCGCAGUCA